UACAGAGGUCUCAAGCGUUGUUCGGAUUCAUUGGGCGUAAAGGGUGCGUAGGCGGCGCGAUAAGUCGGGUGUGAAAUCUCGGAGCUUAACUCCGAAAUUGCAUUCGAUACUGCCGUGCUCGAGGACUGGAGAGGAGACUGGAAUUCAUGGUGUAGCAGUGAAAUGCGUAGAGAUCAUGAGGAAGACCAGUGGCGAAGGCGGGUCUCUGGACAGUUCCUGACGCUGAGGAGCGAAAGUGUGGGGAGCGAACAGG
rnacentral:rRNA from 1 species